AAGACUAUACUUUCAGGGAUCAUUUCUAAAGUUUCUGAUUUGAGAAAUGUGAUUCUAAUUUGUAUGGUCUCACUAACCACGAUGAUGAUUUGUGGUGUUCCUUUCUGAGCGUGACGAGGACAGAGAAUAAUGACUCAAGUCGUAUGUCUUAUAUCUUUGAUGAUCGUUCUUUACUUCCUUGUGGAGUAAUGAGGAAGGGAAUAAGGUCAGAGUGGU
rnacentral:snoRNA from 1 species